UACGUAGGGUGCAAGCGUUGUCCGGAAUUAUUGGGCGUAAAGAGCUCGUAGGCGGUCUGUCGCGUCGGCUACGUGAAACCCGGAGGCUCAACUCCGGGCCUGCAGUCGGAUACGGGCGAGAUCGUGAGGUUCGGCAGGGGAGACUGGAAUUCCGUGGUGUAGGCGGUGAAAAUGCGCAGAUAUCAGGAGGAACACCGAUGGCGAAGGCAGGUCUCUGGGCCGAUACUGACGCUGAGGAGCGAAAGCGUGGGGAGCGAACAGG
rnacentral:rRNA from 1 species